rnacentral:rRNA from 1 species
UACGAAGGGGGCUAGCGUUGCUCGGAAUUACUGGGCGUAAAGGGAGCGUAGGCGGACAUUUAAGUCAGGGGUGAAAUCCCGGAGCUCAACUGCGGAACUGCCUUUGAUACUGGGUAUCUUGAGUAUGGAAGAGGUGAGUGGAAUUCCGAGUGUAGAGGUGAAAUUCGUAGAUAUUCGGAGGAACACCAGUGGCGAAGGCGGCUCACUGGUCCAUUACUGACGCUGAGGUGCGAAAGCGUGGGGAGCAAACAGG